GAAGCCGGACCCUUGCAGAUGAGUGUUCGGGCAGGUGACCCUUUAGGCGAGCCCUAGGCCAUCUCGUGCUGGCCAGGUCACCUUUCUGAGUUUCCUCACCUCCAACAGGAGGUACUUUUUUGGGAAGAAGACAUCUGGGCAUCCAAAUCCAAAAGAAAAUCAAGAUCAAUACAUUCCUACCUGGAGCUUCGAGGAAACCAACCUUCCCUGAACUUGGCAACUGCUCUGAGAAUUGAACUUCUGAGGAUGUGCUGGAGUGUACCCUACAUGACUCUCCUUUAAUAAACAACCCUCUCCACCCUCAUAGCUAUCAGAAAGCCUGUAUGGAAAGAAUGAACUUUCAUGAAAAUCAAUUGAUGAAGACUUAGUCCUUGGAGUGGAUUGUGAGUAUUUGCAGUAGCAGAACUAAAAAUAGUCUGUAAAUAAUCAGAGGUCCUGGAAUAGGAUCAGCAAGGACCCAGAAGAAGUGGGGAAAGCAAAAUAAGCCAAAGAAGAUUGAAAAAGAACUCUGUAACCUGGCAAAGAAGAAAUCUCAGUUGGGCCAGUCACCCACUCUUGUAAUCCCGCUGAUGAAGAGCUCCUGGGCGGUCCUCCAGCAGCACAAUUUUACACUUACUGUACACACCCAUCCUCAAGUUGAUGAACAGGAGAAUGGAUUUAAUUCUUAUUUCAGAACAUGGGUUCUAUCAACACAUUAUUUUGCCACUAAUACAAUGAGGGUGACGUUUGGGAGAGGAAUUCUAUGUUGUAAUAGUAGACUAGGUAAUUCAGGGCACCCAGAAAUUCUAGUGGAAACAGUUUUUAAAAUCUUGAAGGCAUCAAAAAGCCAACAAAAUAGUAAAGAACCACUAGGGCCAGGGUACAGGGGAGGAUGAAAGUCCAAGGUGGUAAGCCCGGGUCUUGUGUUGCCUUUUCCACCGCCCUGCCCCGCUUUCUGCAAGGGUAUCUAAAAGGCAGAGAAGCUGAGCCGUGUGGAGCUAAAAGUAUGGAACCCAGGGCUUGCCAAGAGGGGAGAGGAAAUAUUAAA